CCAGUUGUUCUGCCAAGGGCAUGGCUGGGUAGCUAUGUACGGAAUGGAUAAGCGCUGAAAGCAUCUAAGCGCGAAGCCAACUUCAAGAUAAGAUUUCCCACCGCAAGGGUAAGACCCCAGAAAGACUAUCUGGUUGAUAGGUCGAAGGUGUAAGUGCAGCAAUGUAUUUAGCUUAUCGAUACUAAUAGGUCGAGGACUUGACCAAU
rnacentral:rRNA from 1 species